rnacentral:ncRNA from 1 species
GCAAAGAUCAAAACACGGCCCGGUUGGUAGUCCGGGCGCGGCUUUGGCCGUCAGUAACCUGCCUCCUUGGUUGUCCAUUCUUUGCGG